rnacentral:RNase_P_RNA from 1 species
AAAACAGAUUAGAUUAUCGCGCUACCAGGCUCCGUAAGGGGCUUGGAGUGAGGAAAGUCCGGACAUCGGGCCGCUCGUAAGGGUGGCAAAGGUAGUGGGUAACCCCCACACGCCGUGAGGCGCGAGGUGCGAGCAGAGACGCCUUCCUCCGAAAGGAGUGGGUAUCCAGCAAUGGAUAAGUUCUCGUAGUAAUGCGAGGAGUGAAACGGCUAAAUCCUUACCUCGAUGCAAGGUCGCGCCUAGAUCUUCUUGGAGCUCAGGAAGGGACGGGAGAACCGCAAAGAUCUGCCUGGCAACAGGCAGACAAGAGAAAUGAUAAUCAUCCGCCUUCCGGCGGAAACAGAAUCCGGCUUAUCGAUCUGUUUUGAAA